rnacentral:rRNA from 1 species
UACGUAGGGGGGCAAGCGUUAUCCGGAAUCAUUGGGCGUAAAGCGCGUGUAGGCGGUUCAGUAAGUCCCGCUCUGAAAGCCCCAGGGCUCAACCCUGGGAGGCGGGUGGAUACUACUGGACUAGAGUACGGAAGAGGAGAUUGGAAUUCCUGGUGUAGCGGUGAAAUGCGCAGAUAUCAGGAGGAACACCAACAGCGAAGGCAGAUCUCUGGGGACGUAACUGACGCUGAGACGCGAAAAGCGUGGGGGAGCAAACAGG